AGAGGGAGGGAGGAGGGUGAGUGAACGGCUGUGUGGUGCUUAGCCGCCGGCUGAGUUAAACCACAACAGAAGGAAAAGCUGUGAAUGAACUUGU